rnacentral:rRNA from 1 species
GACGGAAGGUGCAAGCGUUGCUCGGAAUCACUGGGCGUAAAGGGUGCGUAGGCGGCUUGGUGGGUCUGGUGUGAAAGCCCCGGGCUCAGCCCGGGAAGGGCGCUAGAAACUGCCGAGCUCGAGUGCCGGAGGGGAGAGUGGAAUUCCUGGUGUAGCGGUGAAAUGCGUAGAGAUCAGGAAGAACACCGGUGGCGAAGGCGCUCUGCUAGGCCGCAACUGACACUGAGGGACGAAAGCUAGGGGAGCGAAUGGG